rnacentral:lncRNA from 10 species
CGCGCGCCACCACGCCCAGCUAAUUUUUGUAUUUUUAGUAGAGAGGGGGUUUCACUAUAUUGGCCACCCUUUUUUUUCCUUUUCUUUUUGUUUUUUUUGUUUGUUUGUUUGUUUGUUUGUUUGAGACGUAGUCUCGCUUUGUCGCCAUGCUGGAGUGCAGUGGCGCGAUGUCGGCUCACUGCAACCUCUGCCUCCUCGGUUCAAGCGAUUCUCCUGCCACAGCCUCCCGAGUAGCCGGGACUACAGGCGCCCGCCACCAUGCCCAGCUAAUUUUUUUAUUUUUAGUAAAGACGAGGUUUCACCAUAUUAGCCAGGCUGGUCUCUUAUCUCCUAACCUCGUGAUCCGCCCGCCUCGGCCUCCCAAAGUGCUGGGAUUACAGGCGUGAGCCACUGUGCCUGGCCCACCAUUGGCCACCCUAUUCAUUAUUAACUGAGACUCGUAACUGCACCCCAGCUCGACUUCCUCCCGACUCCGAGAGGCGGCGAGUCCACCCACUGGCGCGGUUUCAGAGCGGACAGCUCCACGGCCCAGAAAGAGACGCAGGGAGGAGCCCAGCUUCCGCCUCGAAAGGGACUCUGGGACACUGGGCGGGCCCAGGAACGCAGUGUUCUUGGGAAAUGUGGUCCACAGCCUCCGCUGCGCAGGCGCCGUGGCCCUGCUCCACACGCGCACGGCUGAAGACCCCUAUCUCCGAGAGCGCGCACGCACCCUUCCGGGGUACGAGAAGGCGUGGCGGAUGCUGAGGCAGGCCCUACCGGUCUCGGUGGCGGUGUUGUGGUGAAGGCGGCCGGGUUUAUUUAAGGCUGACUACGAAUUUAAGUGGGAGAGACAUGCAGUUUGUAAGAUCUUCCCACCCCAAGGGGGAGAUCGGCAGCGGAAUGUGUCGCGCGCUGCCUUGGGUGCGCACCCACACACUGGCAAUAAUAAAUGCUUGCUUUAUUCCUUUAUUUAACA